rnacentral:lncRNA from 1 species
UUUAAGUUCAAAAUUUCAUUAUUAACAAAUAAAUGGAAUUUUGCAUAACAAAGAAAAUCAGAGAAAAAACAACAAAUGAUGGAAGUUGAUAGGCAAACUUGUAUUUAUUCAAGAAUGGUAGCACACCAAUGGCAUAGCUCCAUGGAACGUUACAAAUUAAGAAAAUGGCAACGGGGAAAAGGUUUACAUUGAAUCACAAUGACUACUAUUAUCCCUAGUAACAAUGACUCCACAAAACCUCGCUUCUGAAGGGAGCAACUGGACCGAUCUUCCACCUUUAGCU